GGGGCCGACUUGGCUUCGACGUGGGUCGCAAAGCAGUGCAGUGCAUACCGAGGGCCAGGACACCUCGUAAAUCCAGCUGGACCGCAAAUAAACGCCAACGACGAGCGUUUCGCUCUCGCCGCUUAAACCCGGCGGGCGCUGCACCGGCAGGUCUCUGGGCCGGGUGGGCUUAGCGUAAGCUGAGUCCUCGCAGUGUCAUUUACAGAGACUCGCGAGCAGGGUCGGGUCGCUUGGCCCUGCAGCUAAAGGUAAGGUGACUCGCUCCCGACCGGCCUGCCGACCGGCCAAGGCGAGAGUCAAAUGAAAAUAGGUCGGCUAAGUAUGUAGAUCUGUCUGUGGAGGGCUUGCGGACGGGGGUUCAAUUCCCCCCGGCUCCACCA
rnacentral:tmRNA from 1 species